AGUGAACGCUGGCGGUAGGCCUAACACAUGCAAGUCGAACGGCAGCACAGUAAGAGCUUGCUCUUACGGGUGGCGAGUGGCGGACGGGUGAGGAUUACAUCGGAAUCUACUUUUUCGUGGGGGAUAACGUAGGGAAACUUACGCUAAUACCGCAUACGACCUACGGGUGAAAGCAGGGGAUCUUCGGACCUUGCGCGAUUGAAUGAGCCGAUGUCGGAUUAGCUAGUUGGCGGGGUACAGGCCCACCAAGGCGACGAUCCGUAGCUGGUCUGAGAGGAUGAUCAGCCACACUGGAACUGAGACACGGUCCAGACUCCUACGGGAGGCAGCAGUGGGGAAUAUUGGACAAUGGGCGCAAGCCUGAUCCAGCCAUACCGCGUGGGUGAAGAAGGCCUUCGGGUUGUAAAGCCCUUUUGUUGGGAAAGAAAAGCAGCAGGUUAAUACCCCGCUGUUCUGACGGUACCCAAAGAAUAAGCACCGGCUAACUUCGUG
rnacentral:rRNA from 1 species